rnacentral:tRNA from 1 species
CAGAUACAUGUGCGCAUGCACGUGUACACACAUGCAUGCAUACACACAUGCAUUUGUAGAUAUAUGUGUAGGUGUGUACACACAACAUACACAUAUGCAUCCACACAUACACAUAUACAUAUGAGGUGGCACGUUCAGCUUUCAAGAGGACCAUCAGGGACUUUGUCACCUUGACAACUUUAGCCUUGCCUUCUAGUCACCUUGCCGGAACACUUGUGCCCGUGUUUUUCUAGCACUGUCAUAAGAAUACUUUUACCUAUCAAGGCAACUGGGGGUUAGGAGAGCUUUUUGCACAGGAGGCUACUUGGCUUUGUUUGAAAACUGAUGAUACAUGAGGAUUGGGGUGGUGAAUCACUCACAUGUUUCUUCAUAUGAAAAAUGAGGACUGUGGGAUUCUCUGGCUGGAUCUCAGCACCUAGAAAUGGAUCUGGGCAAUAGGAACUGCUCAGUAUUAGCUACCGCUUUGGUUGCCUUCUCCUUGCGGAAAGCUGGCCUCUCACACUGAAUUUGUAUCAUAGGCACUCAUGAGGGUCUUGACUGUAUCAAUAUCUGAUGAGAGAUUUUAGUGCAGUUCUGUUAUCGUGGCUGAUUUGCUCAUUUGGUAGCUAGCAUCCAGCUUCUUGUGAACAUUAAAAUAAAAUAAAAUAGAUUAUGGAGGAAUAGAAUACAGAUACGUAGUAAGGUAUUAUUUUCCAGACAAAAUGGAUUUGGAUAAAAGAAUCUAAUUAAGAACUUGUGCAUGAUUCUUUUAAAAUUCUUUUGAAUCCAUUUUUUUUUUUUUGGCCUGUUUUCAAGUCUCCGAUUUUUGUCACCCUUCUCACACCAGGUCAGAGAGAUAGCUAAUGGUCAGAAGGAAUCUUCCAGCAAUGACCAUAGCGCUUUCUCCUGCCUGCAGAUGCCUCUUUUUAUUCAGCCUUUAUGGGAAGUAGCAGCACCAUCCAGUUCUCAGAGAGCAAGCUCUGGAGUAACUGAGCUAACCCCAGUUACCCCAGUGGAUUUACAGAUUGAGGUUACAACCCAGCAGGGUUCUCUUCCUGGAAAGAAUAGCCUUCCCUCUAAGGUUUCAAAUAGACCCUGGGUGAGGAAGGAGCCCUAAACAGCUUGAAAAAUUGAAUGCUCUUUGGGCAAAGCAGGAAGCCGUCCUAUGGAAGAGCAUCAUUUGAGCAUAAAUCAGGUUAUCAGGACAAACAGAGUGUUCAGGAGGUCAAGAUGGUUAAGCAGAGACCCUGACCAGAAUGUCCGUGGCGGAGAGAAACAAUCUUGUUGGGAAAAGGAUGACAAUAAUUGGGGACUUAGAAUAAAGGCUAAAAAUGAUUCAAAGAGAAUGCAAAAAGAAUCAGGCACAAAUCGUUUACUAUACUCUGUUAUGCAAAUCUCACCUUACUAUGUGUUUGUAUUCUAUUCCUCCACAAUCUUUAUUUUAUUUUAAUGUUCAAAGAGACUUGUAGGUGCCAAUUAAAUGAACAAAACAGCCAGAGACAACAGAACUGCCCUAAAAAAAGUCCCGCAUCAGCUCUUGAGAGCAGGUUCCUUAAAGGUGAACAAUAUUCCACAUACAAGGACUUUUUCAGCACCAUGCAUUAGAAAUGGAAGUGAAUGUUUAUUAUUUUUUGUAUAAGUUGGUUGAUAUGGCUUUUCAGCUUCCCUCAGUAUCAUUAUCCAAAUUUUGUAGAUGACACUAAAGCUCAGAGGAGUUAAACCAUUUUCCUUAAAUCACAUAGCUUUAAAUAGGAAAACCAGAUAUGAAAAGCAGAUUUUUUUUCUAAAUUAAAAAACCAAAAACAAAAACACGUGAGCUCUUGCUUUACCCUAGCACAUAGUCUUGCCAUCUGUUUUCUCCACACCAGGUGAUUCCUGUAACAUUCAUUCACAUAACAAAUACAAAUAAAUGAGUGGAUUCAUUCAUCAGAUAUUAAUUCAGAAUCCCUUUUGUGCCUUCCAGAAAUCUGGACCAUCUCACAACCCCCAGAGAGUCUCAGCUACAAGGAACAAGUGAUAAUGCCAUCCCACUUUUAUAAACACACACACACACACAUGCAAUACACACACAAUCAUUUAAUCAUUUUUAAUUAUUUAAUUAUUUUUUAAAAAUCAGUGACACUUUAGCUGGGCAGGUCUAGAUAGGUCUUCUUUGCUGGGACGUGUCUUUUUCUGUCCUGGAAUACCCUAAACUUCACAUUUUGGCAGCGUGAGUUUUCCCUUUGUGACUUUCUCCUUCUUCCCUUUUUUCCUCCUUCUUUGCAGAGAAUGAGUAGCCACUGCACCUUGCCCUGCGCCAUCAAUGAGAAGAUCUGCUCUUAGUAGAGCCCUGCUUUCCCGCUGAAGGCCCUGAAAUCACCUGUGUUCCAGGCCACCCACUAAGGAUAAACAAAGCUUCCCUGAUAUGGGGAAUUAGCUCAAGUGGUAGAGCGCUUGCUUAGCAUGCAAGAGGUAGUGGGAUCAAUGCCCACAUUCUCCAAGCUUUAUUAUUUAGGUACCCAAACCCGAGUCAGUGUCUGAGAGCAAGACACUGCUCUCGGUGUCUUUGGUUCAAGACAUAGGAGCAGCAACAAUACAGGACUGGUGACAGCUUCCUGCUGGCAUUCAGUAUAGUGUAGAUCUACUGUGUAAUUAAUUUUCUGUUUCUUCGAGGAGCUGUGAAACCAAAGGACAUAUAAAACUGCUCUUUUCUCCCUGUUUCUGCCUGCAGCUUGGUCCUAAAUGUGAGACAAUUGUGAAAAGUGGAGGACAGAGCCACCUGGUUAAAUACAGCCCCAGCUUUCUGGUGAGAGGACUGAAACCAAGAUGUGUCAAGUAACUAGAAUGUGCCUGGACAGAUACUGUAGAAAGCAAAACCAUAAAGUUGUUCAUGAGCUUGUGGACGCACCUGCCAGCUGUGAAUAAGUGGCUCUAAUCCCGAACAACUUACCUAAAAAGAGCCUGAGAGCUGAACUGUGCAAUGGCCCACUUUCCAGUCCUCACUGACCACUGGGUUGCACACACUUUGGAGAUCUCUGAACAGCAGUGUCAAGGCUUUCAAAUAGAGUUAUCUUUGAAACGACAACACAUGAAAGUCUGGUUGGUACUUGGAGCUUAAAUACAAGGCAAUUGUGUGCCUGCAAAAACAAAAAUAGCAAUAUUAUCCUUAAGAUUUCAACAAGACACAGUGUCUCAUCACAUAAUCCAAAGAAGUCCAGGUUACAAGCCCCACAAUAUUCAGCAUUAUGAAAAAACAGGGAGAUCUUAAUUCACAUGGCAAAGAGAAUCCUCGAAUAACAAUAUUGAGAGGACACAGAUGUCAAAAUCAUCUGACACAUACAUUAAAGCAGAUAUUAUAACAAUGCUCCUAGAAUCGGGGAUAACAUUCGUGAAGUGAAUGGAAAGUUGGAAAGUCUCACCAAAUAUUUCGAAUACAUAAACACCAAUUUAAACUUAAGAAUUAAAAAAAUGUAUUAACCAAAACUCUUAGGGGAAAUAAAAAGCUUAAUUGGAGGAUCUCCAUAAUCGAAUGCAGAAGACUAAGGAAAAAGUCAAUGAACUUGAAAACAGAACACGAAUACCUACAUAAUCUGAACUAUAGAGAGAAAGGAGGAUUUUAUUGUCUCUGAACAGAGGCUCAGGCACAAAUAAAAAAUAACAAAUCCAACAUUCACAUUAUUGUAAUCUGGAAAGAAGAGGACAAAGUGGUCUUUGUGGGAUAAAACUUUGAACAAUUAAUAGCUGAAAAUGGUUCAAAUUUGUCAAAAGAUAUAAACCAGAUUUUUAAAGUUCAGUAAAUGUCAAUCAGGAUAAACCCAAAGAAACCCAUAGCAAGGCAUAUCAUAAUCAAACUGCUGAAAACUAAGAAAAUACAAAACAAUUUUGAAAGCAGCCAAAGGGAAAUGAAAGAGAAACUACCAAAUGAAUGAUUGUAGAUUUCGCAUCAGGAACCAUAGGGGCCAGAAAAAAUGUCAUAACAUUCGGUAAGUAACAAAAGAAAAAGACAUAUCGACCCAGAAUGCUAUGUGGAGCAAAAGUAUCUUCCAGACAUAAAGGCAAAUAAAUGCAUUCUCAGUGGAAGGUAAGUAAAUACAUUCUCAUUCUUAGGAAGACUGCUGGAAAAGAAUUAGCAAAGAUUUGAGAUAAGAAAAAUGAUACCAGAAGGAAACUUAGAACAUCAUCAGUGAAGGAACAAAAGCAGAAAUAGAACAUGUCUGGGUAGACAUAACAGACUAUUAUUCUUCCCUUGAGUUCCUUAAGGAGACUACGGAAAAGAAGAGUGACUAAGAUCUCUGAAGAAGGGAAAAGCUAGAUGACUGGGCCACAAGAGGAAAAAAAGCAGCAAGACAGAGAAUGAGUAGCCACUGCACCUUGCCCUGGGCCAUCAGUGAGAAGAUCUGCUCUUAGUAGAGCCCUGCUUUCCCGCUGAAGGCCCUGAAAUCCCCUGUGUUCCAGGCCACCCACUAAGGAUCAAUAAAGCUCCCCUGAUGUGGGGGAAUUAGCUCAAGUGGUAGAGCGCUUGCUUAGCAUGCAAGAGGUAGUGGGAUCGAUGCCCACAUUCUCCAAACUUUAUUAUUUAGACCCUGGGUCUCCAAACACUCAGGUCUCCAAACCCAAGUCAGAGAACAGGAUGCUGCUUUGGUUCAAGAUGUAGGAGCAGCAACAAUACAGGGCUGGUGACGGCUCCCUCCUGGCAUUCAGUAUAGUGUAGAUCUACCGUGUAAUUAAUUUUCUGCUUCUUUGAGGAGCUGUGAAACCAAGGGACAUAAACAAUUGCUCUUUUCUCCCUGUUUCUGCCUGUAGCUUGAAUGUGAGGCAACUGUGAAAAGUGCAGGGCAGAGCCACCUGGGUAAAUACAGCCCUGGCUUUCUGGUGAGAGGACUGAAACCAGGAUGUGUCAAGUAACUAGAAUGUGCCUGGACAGAUACUGUAGAAAGCAAACCCAUAAAGUUGUUCAUGAGCUUGUGGACGCACCUGCCAGCUGUGAAUAAGUGGGUCUAAUCCCAAACAACUUACCUAAAAAGAGCCUGAGGACUGAACUAAACAAUGGUCCACUUUCCAGUCCUCACUGACCACUGGUUGCACACACUCCAGAGAUCUCUCAUCCGCAGUGUCAAGGCUUUCAAAUAGAGUUAUCUGUGAAACAACAACACAUGGAAGUCUGGUUGGUACUUGGAGCUUAAAUACAAGGCAAUUGUGUGCCUGCAAAAACAAAAAGAGCAAUAUUAUCCUUAAGAUUUCAACAAGACACAGUGUCUCAUCACAUAAUCCAAAGAAGUCCAGGUUACAAGCCCCAAAAUAUUCAGCAUUAUGAAAAACCAGGGAGAUCUUAAUUCACAUGGCAAAGAGAAUCCUUGCAUAACAAUAUUGAGAGGACACAUAUGUCAAAAUCAUCUGACACAUACAUUAAAGCAGUUAUUAUAACAAUGCUCCUAGAAUUACGGGAUAGCAUUCAUGAAGUGAAUGGAAAGUUGGAAAGUCUCACCAAAUAUUUGGAAUAUGUAAACACCAAUUUAAACUUAAGAAUUAAAAAAAGUAUUAACCAAAACUAUUAGGGGAAAUAAAAAGCUUAAUUGGAUGAUCUCAAUAGCAGUAUGCAGAAGACUAAGGAAAAAGUCAAUGAACUUGAAAACGGAACAAGAAUACCUACAGAAUCUGACCUAUAGAAAGAAAGGAGGAUUUUAUUGUCCCUGAACAGAGGCUCAGGGACAAAUAAAAAAUAACAAAUCUAACAUUCACAUUAUUGUAAUCUGGAAACAUUCACAUUAUUGUAAGAGGACAAAGAGGUCUUUGUGGGAUAAAACUGUGAAGAAUUAAUGGCUGAAAAUGUAUCAAAUUUCUCAAAAGAUAUAAACCAGAUUUUUAAAGUUCAGUAAAUGUCAAGCAGGAUAAACCAAAAGAAACCCAUUGCAAGACAUAUCAUAAUCAAACUGCGGAAAAUUAAGAAAACACAAAACAAUUUUGAAAGCAGCCAAAGGGAAAUGAAAGAUAAAAUACCAAAUGAAUGAUUGUAGAUUUCUCAUCGGGAACCCAGGAGCCAGAAAAAAAUGUCAUAACAUUCAGUAAAUACCAAAGGAAAAAUACAUUAUCAACCCAGAAUGGUAUGUGGAGCAAAAGUAUCUUCCAGACAUAAAGGCAAAUAAAUGCAUUCUCAUUGGAAGGUAAAUAAAUACAUUCUCAGUCCUAGCAAAACUGCUGGAAAAGAAUUAGCAAAGGUUUGAGAUAAGAAAAGUGAUACCAGAAGGAAACUUAGAACAUCAUCAAUGAAGGAACAAAAGCAGAAAUAGAAAAUGUCUGGGUAGACAUAACAGACUAUUAUUCUUCUCUUGAGUUCCUUAAGGUAUGUUUGAUGGUUGAAAGCAAAAAUUGUAACUUUAUCUGAUGCAGUUGUCAUUGUAUCUAGAUGUACUACAUACAUAAGAUAAAAGGGUAAAUGUAAUGGGACUAACUCUUGAUGAAGUUUCUAUAUUCAACUUGAAUGGUAAAAUAUUGAUUCUUAGUAUACUGUGAAAAGUUAUAUAUGUAUAUGGUAAUCCCUAGACCACUUAACAACCAGAUUGAAAUAAACCAAAACAAGAUAGACAGAGGAACAUAGAAGAAUUAAAACAAAGGGAAAAAAGGUUAAUAAAUUAUUAAAUAGUAGAUCUAUCUAAAAACUUAUCUAUAAUAACAUUAUAUGUAAAUUAUCUAAAUGCAUUAAGUAAAAACUAGAGAUCAUCAGAAUGUGUUAAAAAUAAAUAUGCUGACUAAAGAAAGCCACCUGCAAUACACUUAUAAAUAAGAAUAAAAGUUAUAGAGCAGAUUGAAAGAAAAGAGUGGGAAAAGAUACCUCAUGCAAGCAUUAAUCAAAGACAGCUGUGGUGUAUAUAUAUAAAAUCAGACAAAGUAGAUUUGAAAGCAGAGAAACUUUUCAGGAAUAAUGAGGCCUCCUAAAUAAUUAUGAUUGUCAAUUUUUCAGGAGAAUAUUGUCCCAAAUGUAUAUGAGGACACAGAGCUUCAAAACUCAUAAACAAAAUUGGAUACGCCAAGUAAAAAUAGAAAAAUCCAGUUAUAGUUGCAGUCAUUAACACUCCUCUCUGAGUAAUUGGAAGAUUUAGUGGAACACAAAUCAACAGACAUACUGGAGAAUUGAACCAUGCCAUCCAGUAAUGGACCUAUCAAUUUCAUAAUGCAAAAUAAAAAUUCAGGUAGAAAGCAAAGACAAAAAUUAAAAGAAAAGCAAGAUCAUGUUAUAAUGAGAAAAUUAAGAGUAGUCCAGUGUAUAGAAGGGUGCUAUUAUUGAAAGAGUUUGAAAUAGUGACUUAGUUAUUUUGAAACAUUUUUGAAGACGUUAUUUAGCUGGAAAUGACAGAAAGACUGAAAAUGGUGAAUGUGGAGGUGGAUCUUCCCUUGUCCAUAUUUAUCUUGUCUUCGUUUGAGGUCUGGGGUGUCUAUACUUCCUCUGAAUUACCUGAUCUUACUACAGUGUCUGGCACAGAGCAUCUCCCCAGUGAAUAUGUACUAAAUGAGUAGAAAGUAAUUGAUAGAUUCAAAAGAGUUGUGCAAGAAUAAUGUUCAUUAUUUGACUAAUCACUGAAUGUGGUGUUUCAAGGAAGACAAUGAAUCAAAGUUGACUUGAAAGGUAAGCCCAGGGCCAGACGUGGUGGCUCAUUUCUGUAAUCCCAGCACUUUGGGAGGCCGAGAUCAGUGGAUCCCUUGACACCAGG